AGAAAAAUUGCGGGGUGCUUACCAUGCAAGUCGAACGGGAUCCAUCAGGCUUUGCUUGGUGGUGAGAGUGGCGAACGGGUGAGUAAUGCGUGACCGACCUGCCCCAUACACCGGAAUAGCUCCUGGAAACGGGUGGUAAUGCCGGAUGCUCCGACUCCUCGCAUGGGGUGUCGGGAAAGAUUUCAUCGGUAUGGGAUGGGGUCGCGUCCUAUCAGGUAGUCGGCGGGGUAACGGCCCACCGAGCCUACGACGGGUAGCCGGCCUGAGAGGGCGACCGGCCACAUUGGGACUGAGAUACGGCCCAGACUCCUACGGGAGGCAGCAGUGGGGAAUAUUGCACAAUGGGCGCAAGCCUGAUGCAGCGACGCCGCGUGCGGGAUGACGGCCUUCGGGUUGUAAACCGCUUUUGAUCGGGAGCAAGCCUUCGGGUGAGUGUACCUUUCGAAUAAGCACCGGCUAACUACGUGCCAGCAGCCGCGGUAAUACGUAGGGUGCAAGCGUUAUCCGGAAUUAUUGGGCGUAAAGGGCUCGUAGGCGGUUCGUCGCGUCCGGUGUGAAAGUCCAUCGCUUAACGGUGGAUCUGCGCCGGGUACGGGCGGGCUGGAGUGCGGUAGGGGAGACUGGAAUUCCCGGUGUAACGGUGGAAUGUGUAGAUAUCGGGAAGAACACCAAUGGCGAAGGCAGGUCUCUGGGCCGUUACUGACGCUGAGGAGCGAAAGCGUGGGGAGCGAACAGGAUUAGAUACCCUGGUAGUCCACGCCGUAAACGGUGGAUGCUGGAUGUGGGGCCCGUUCCACGGGUUCCGUGUCGGAGCUAACGCGUUAAGCAUCCCGCCUGGGGAGUACGGCCGCAAGGCUAAAACUCAAAGAAAUUGACGGGGGCCCGCACAAGCGGCGGAGCAUGCGGAUUAAUUCGAUGCAACGCGAAGAACCUUACCUGGGCUUGACAUGUUCCCGACAGCCGUAGAGAUAUGGCCUCCCUUCGGGGCGGGUUCACAGGUGGUGCAUGGUCGUCGUCAGCUCGUGUCGUGAGAUGUUGGGUUAAGUCCCGCAACGAGCGCAACCCUCGCCCUGUGUUGCCAGCACGUCAUGGUGGGAACUCACGGGGGACCGCCGGGGUCAACUCGGAGGAAGGUGGGGAUGACGUCAGAUCAUCAUGCCCCUUACGUCCAGGGCUUCACGCAUGCUACAAUGGCCGGUACAACGGGAUGCGACACGGCGACGUGGAGCGGAUCCCUGAAAACCGGUCUCAGUUCGGAUUGGAGUCUGCAACCCGACUCCAUGAAGGCGGAGUCGCUAGUAAUCGCGGAUCAGCAACGCCGCGGUGAAUGCGUUCCCGGGCCUUGUACACACCGCCCGUCAAGUCAUGAAAGUGGGUAGCACCCGAAGCCGGUGGCCUAACCCUUUGUGGAUGGAGCCGUCUAAGUUAGACUCAAGUU
rnacentral:rRNA from 1 species